UUUUGAAAUGAAAUCGUUGAACACAUGUAAAACAAUUGAUGUCCGUGUAAAGCUUGGGGUGGACAUUCCAGUAGGACGGACCCGAGAUUGUCGUUCGUGAUUGAGGAAACGACUGGUUGGGGGUGGGCAAUCCUGUAGGCCGGACCCAAGAUUGUUGCUCGUAAUUGAGGAAACGACUGAAGUGUGAUGCCAAGAAGACUAUUGCAAAGAGGAAUGUCAAGGCCAGGCGCACAGUUGCAUAUGAAGGGAAAAAACUGAUGCAUUGUUGGCAAAAGUCAAAACAAGAAAUUAAU